rnacentral:rRNA from 1 species
GAACUUAAGCAUAUCAAUAAGGCGAGGAACAGAAACCAACCGGGAUUCCCCCAGUAGUGGCGAAUGAAGCGGGAAAAGCUCAAGUUUGAAAUCUGGCUUCUGUCAGAGUUGUAAGCUGAAGAGGUUUCGACCGAUGUGGCUCGGGCUCAAUUCCCUUGGGAUAGGGAGUCGUGGAGGGUGAGAACCCCGUUCGUGGCCUGGUAGCCUUCAUCCUUGUGUCGUUUCCUCAAAGAGUCGGGUUGUUUGGGAAUGCAGCUCAAAAUGGGUGGUAAAUUUCAUCUAAAGCUAAAUAUUGGCGAGAGACCGAUAGCAAACAAGUAGAGUAAUCGAAAGAUGAAAAGUACUUUGAAAAGAGAGUGAAACAGUGCGUGAAAUUGUUGAAAGGGAACCGUUUGGUAUCAGCCCAUGGCUGCCUUUGAUCAUCCAGGCUUCUGUCUGGUGCACUCGGAGGCGGCCGGGCCAGCGUCGACUUUGCCCGCUGGAGAAAGGUUCGAGGAAUGUGACUCUUCACGGAGUGUUAUAGCCUUGGGCGUCAUGCAGUGUGGCGGGGUCGAGGUCUGCGGUCUUCCUAGGACGCUGGCGUAAUGGUCCCAAGCGACCCGUCUUGAAACACGGACCAAGGAGUCUAACAUCUAUGCGAGUGUUUGGGUGUAAAGCCCGUCCGCGCAAUGAAAGUGAAUGUAGGCGGGAACUCUUCGGAGUGCACCGUCGACCGGUCCAGGGGUUUACCGAAGGAUCCGAGUAAGAGCAUAGCUGUUGGGACCCGAAA